rnacentral:lncRNA from 1 species
AAAUAUUAAACCUAAAGGUGUGAUUCCAUUUCAUCUCACAGAACCUGAACAAGGGAUUUUUGGGAUGUCAUACCUGUCUUGGAAUUAUGACAUAAUAACGCUAAGGCAGAAAGUGAGUUUGGAGCACAGAUGCCAGCAGGGAUGCUGCAUCAUAUCUGAGGACCUUUUUCCAAUGUUUGUACUUCAGAUGCUGUUGAUCCUAGUCCUGCAGCAGAAGACAGAUGGAUUGAUUCAUUUGGCUUGUCCACUGUUGAUUUUAGCUAGAAAAAUUGGGAAGCGCCAUCCACGAACUGCCGUAGUCGUCGUCCCUCAUGUUCAGCUGUCUUUCACUUUUAAACUUCGUCCGUGAGGAAGUCACCAAUGGGAAAGCUGAUGGUUCUUGGAGCUGAUUUGUCUUUGGGCUGGCUCCUGAGAUGAGCCAUAUGCUUAGAAAGGUUCAAAAGCUUUGACUAUGCCAGCUACCAUCUUGCUUGAGACCUUCUGUAGGACAAGGAGGCAAAGGAAGGGCCAGUUUUGCCCUCUUCAUGCUGACUGCAAGCCCAGGAGAAUAUAACGAAGGAUGGAAAGCUGUUUUACUGAAGCAACUAUGGCAGAAUUUAGCUGGGAUGAUGGUUAUGAUGGUUAUGAUGGUGAUUGUAUGAGUUUCAAAAGGUAACUUGAGCAACGAUUUCAUUUGGCAAAUAUGUUAAAUAGCAAAAUACACCCUGGAAUUCAAUUUGUAUUUGAUUGCACAAUAGCUAAUUUCUUCAGCUACUUUUUCAGCUUCCUCUUAACACUUAUGUUUUCGCUUGUAAGUUUUUUGUUUGGUUAUAAUGAGGCAUUGUGCCUUAUGCCUUAUCUUAUGUGGGUGGUA